CCAAAGCAAUCGAACCAGACCCAAGCGAGAUGUACGGCUCGGCCUCUCCGCCGCCGCGUUCCCCUCGACGAGAAGCCUCCUUCUCAGAGGAGCUCCCCUUCUGCCGCGCACGCAUCUCGAUCGGUCUCCAGGCCUCCAUGGCGGUCGCCUCGUCUUCUCCCACGCCACAAACCCUAGCACCCGCGAGGCGCUCGAACCGAGUGCCCGCUGGCGGGUCGGGGCGGGGCGGGGCGGGUCGGCGUCUGCGUGGCCGCAGCUCCGCCGCCGCCAGGCCUUGUCGUCAUCCCCCGCUUCCUCCUGAGGAGUGACGCACCCCCAAUUGUGUGUGGAAUUGGUUGUGUUUCGUGCCGUUGCGGCCGCCUCGCCGCGGUGCCCGCGUUAGGGCUUGGUGAUGGUGCGUGGAGGGCGCUCGAACUCUGGAUCGCGAGGCAACGGAACACUAGAACCUUGAUUAGCUCCUUCUCCGGGACGGGCCUUGCGCGCGCCGUGAUCCAAAGUUUGCAUAUGGUGAAUUGGUGACGAUGCAUGUGGUUUACCGUUUACGUGCGACCCACUUGGUAAUCGGUGGUCUGUGGGCGAUUUUCUGGUUAUGAACGUGAAUUGGGGUUGUUUGCGGGAAUAUCUUAUCUAGGCCCGACCUUUUUCUAAUGCGAUACUGAAUUUGGGUUUACUGGCUGCUUCAAUUUGUUAUUAAGCCACAUUCAAGUGGCAACCCAUUUUGCACAGGUGAUUUUUUUUAAAAUAAUGGAAUUUUCCGGCCUCUACGGUUUAACUUACACAGCCUUCAAUUCAAUUAUUACAAUUUUUCCAGCUUCAAAAGCUGGAAUAGCAGGAGAACCAAAAAAAUUAAGCCUGACAAAGUCUAUUAUUAUGCUUCCAUCCAUGACUCGCAAACAUUUCUAAGGCUAUUAUCUCCAAAGAAGUGCUGAUCUUCAUGAACAGAUCCUUUGUCGUCUCCUUAUGCUGACCAAAAUCGUAGCCAGUAGGCCCCCCCUGAAAAUAACCUGCAUAAAGGAUGAAUGUUUAACGUUAUCAAAGAUAAUAUCAUUUCGACAACGCCAUAUUGCCCAACAUAGAGCCGCUGUCCCUGUUAGAAUAGUAAAGGCCUCUUGUGCAUUAAAAUUUUGAAGCCAAUUCCCAAGCAUGUGGGUUAAACUUUUGCACAGGUGAUGUAUACUUUAUAAUUAAGAAUGCAAGAAUCUAUUUACUCAGCAUAAAUUUGACCAUAUGCCAAGGCUCGUGCAACACACAACUCUGAUACAUUGCUGUCAUGUUUUUUUUUUCUGUAGUGGGCAAAUUGUGCGUGCCUGCGCAUCUGCUAUGUUCUUACAAAAAUGGCAAAAAGAAAAAAAAAAGAUGAAUGAAACGAGAAAUUGCUUUAUAAUUGAGGCAAAAAGUUCAUACUUUAAAUUGUUAGUUUAGGAAGACCUAUCUAUCUUGCUAUUGUUAGUAAGGCCCAUCUAUAGCUGGGGGUGAAUAAUGGAAAGUGUAAGGCAAAAGAUGGACACUAGACUAGGAGUUUGAUUUUUUAGAUGAUAGACCCAUGUUGGUUCAUUUCUGUUGGUGACAUGCUACCUUUUUGCUGUCAACUGGUUUGGGAAUAAUAUCAACGAACAUGCUAGGUAUCUCAAAUAACAAAAUGGAAGGCACAAGUACAGAAUUGUCCCUUAUUGAUCUUGUGUUCAUAACCAAAUUAGUUAUUCUUGAUUGUUAGUUUGAAAGAUCCUACAAACUAAAUGAGUUGUAAUGCAUAUUGUUUUUCUUAUUUGUUAUAUUUGUUGAGCGUAUCAGAGUGCAUUGAUCUCUGUUCUUUUUAUCAUAUCAGUUAAUACUCAUUUCCAAAGCCACAUUUUGAAAAUUAACAGUGAUUUUAGAUUAUGCUGGAUAUGUUGAGGUUUAACCUCAUAUUGGUUUUGUUCAAUUGGUGAAAUCUUUGAACUCACUUGUUUGGCACACUAAAAUUAACCUCCCAAAUCUGUCUUGAUUCACCGCAUGACCAUCAUUGUAUGUUGCAGUUCUGAACAAGAAUUUUCUUUCUUUAUCUGGUGGUUCACAAUUGUGAAAUAGGGCUUGUGCUGUGCUUAAAGAAAUGGCCAUGUUAGACCUAUGGUAAAUCAGAGACAGAAUCUAAAUAUCCCAUGUUUUGGAAGGUUGAGAAGGACCUUGAGCACACUGUCUAUAGCACACACUCCAUGAUUUUCUCCGAAUCACACUGAUCUACUACUUGACGCUUAAUUUCGUACAUUUGAAUACUUUUUGUUUGAGUUCUUCGUGGUCUUUGACUCUUUGUGGUGAACUCUUGCAUGGCCUAUUGCUGCAUGUUGCUUACAGUUUUUUAACUACAUUCCCAACCCCUUCCCAUGCAGUGCAACCUCUUACAUUACAUCCCUUGGUUAAUAAUGUUACGAUGCUGUUAUAUCACCUAUUCUAAACUUUCUGCAGUUUGAAGAACUCGUGCAUGUGUAGAAUACAUCAUUUUUACCUGAAAAAUAGGGACUGCAAAAGUACAAUGUUUACAAAAGCAGUUCAAUGCAAAGGAUUGUAGUGAUGCCAUGCAUUUUAGUCUGAUCAUUUACUGCUUUUCUAGUAUAGACAAUGCAUAUGCCUGCAGCAUUUGAUUGGUCCCACAAAACCCUGAUAGCCUGUGUUUCCCUAGGUGGAAGUGUCUUAAUUCCUUUUCCUAUCCGUUCUUCUCCUGGUUUGGUUAUGGAGAUCAACUGCUUUAUAUUAUUUAUAAAUGGCUUCUCAGACGUUAUCCUUUUCUUGACUGGAUCAAACUUCUAUGUGUACAAGUCCUACCAUAUUUUCCUUUCUGAUAGAAUCUUCAGUCUUCUUUGCUAUCUCCAUGCAAAGUGAUCGCAACUACAUUUGUACCUAUAUAUAGAAGAGAGAAUUCACAAUGACUAUCAAUCACGACAAUGUGGGGAUUUUUUUUUGAAGUGAAAGCAAAGAGAUGAUGAGGAAUUCACUCUCAUUUCUGGCUAUAAUCUUGGUAGAUCUUCACCACAUAUCGUACAGAAUCCAUGAUUCAAUUCUUGCAGGGAAGAAAUAUGUAUCCAAAGUUUCGAAGAGUCAGGAGUUAUGCUGCAAGUGAGACUGCCAUCUUUCAUAAACUGGUGGAUGUCCUUCAAGAGAGGAUCCAACUGCAAGAUGCAAGAGGAGUCGCCGUAGAGGCACAAGAGAACAAGUUACAGGAUUAUAUGGGGGCAAUAGAUGGAACACAUGUUCCAAUUUCCCUAGCUCCAUGUCUACAAGAUCCUUAUUGGAAUAUAAAAAGUACAUUGCGGGAAAUGUCAUGGUUGUGUGCAAUCUGAGGCAUGCAUAGCUACGCAAUCAUGUUGAUAGGUGUUGUGAGGAUGCGCUUUCAAAUACUAAAGCGUACUCAUAUCAUUCGAUUGACUCAAUCAGAUAUUGUGUUACCUUGUGCGCUUCAAAAUUUUAUAUGUAACCAUGAGGCAGUAGAGCAAUGGAUUGGACGAUCUGGUUUGUGCAUUUAAGAAUGGGAAAUAGCUGUUGUUCCUGAGCUA